UGUUGUUUUAUAGGCGACUCAGGGAAUAGAAAUGAUGCCUUUUGCAUCAGGGAUGUCGGUCUGAACAGUGACUCCUCUCCAGAAGUAUGUAUUCUUCUCAUAUGAUAUAGGUUUCCUCUUGCAGUCCAAAGCCAGGCAGUUACACCAACUGGCAUCUCUACUUUGCCCAUGGGAUAUCAUAAGUGUGAGUGCGUACGCACCCAGCAACAAACUGGCAUGUGUUCCAUGGUGUCACACAACAGUGUGCCCUCAGAUGCCUGGAUUGGGUUCCACGUCCCCCCCCAACCCCGACCAGAAAAAGUGGGCUUCAAUAAAGUCGACGAGGAAACGCACCAAGAAGCAGACAUGCUCCCUGUUGUAAAAAUAGGACUGCAACAUAACAAAACAAAAGGAAAAAGUACGCAAACCUUGCAGUUCCAGAGCCGAUCCCAGCAGCAAGAACCCUGGGCGUCUGUCAAGAAAACAAACACGAAAAAACAGGUCGGACCUGCGUAACUUCCGGGACCGGGGCUCGAUUAAAGGUGAAAUGUAUGUUAGGAAAUAAAAGCGAAGCGUGAAUCGCAGGGGCAUGCUACCUUCGCUAAGCUGGGCGACGCCUUUUCACUGUUUAAAGCGUCCGAUCAGAGGCAGUCCUUCCUCUAUGCGUCGCGCAGCGUCCUCCUCCUCCUUUCCCUUUCUUCCUGUUCUUUCGCUGCCCUGGUUGUGCCAGGCUUGAGAUGCAGCUCGCAUGUAGAUGAAUAUCCCAAGAACCACCAACUUUCCAGAUCUUUCAUUGGUUGUCACUGUGACGUUGCUAUUUUUGGGGAUACCCCAAAAUAAAGAUUAUAUUUAACGAGUCA